CCUACGGGGUGCAGCAGUGAGGAAUAUUGGUCAAUGGGCGCGAGCCUGAACCAGCCAAGUAGCGUAAAGGAUGACUGCCCUACGGGUUGUAAACUUCUUUUAUAAAGGAAUAAAGUGAGGCACGUGUGCCUUUUUGUAUGUACUUUAUGAAUAAGGAUCGGCUACAUCCGUGCCAGCAGCCGCGGUAAUACGGAGGAUCCGAGCGUUAUCCGGAUUUAUUGGGUUUAAAGGGAGCGUAGAUGGGUUGUUAAGUCAGUUGUGAAAGUUUGCGGCUCAACCGUAAAAUUGCAAUUGAUACUGGCAGUCUUGAGUACAGUUGAGGUAGGCGGAAUUCGUGGUGUAGCGGUGAAAUGCUUAGAUAUCACGAAGAACUCCGAUUGCGAAGGCAGUUCACUGAACUGCAACUGACACUGGUGCUCGAAAGUGUGGGUAUCAAACAGGAUUAGAUACCCCUGUAGUC
rnacentral:rRNA from 1 species